rnacentral:rRNA from 1 species
CAAACGACUCUCGGCAACGGAUAUCUCGGCUCUCGCAUCGAUGAAGAACGUAGCGAAAUGCGAUACUUGGUGUGAAUUGCAGAAUCCCGUGAACCAUCGAGUCUUUGAACGCAAGUUGCGCCCGAAGCCGUCAGGCCGAGGGCACGUCUGCCUGGGUGUCACAU